GCCGCCUUAGCUCAGUGGUAGAGCAUAGGUAUCGUAAACCUAGGGUCCGGGGUUCAAAUCCCCGAGGCGGCU
rnacentral:tRNA from 1 species